rfam:Campylobacter cuniculorum LMG 24588, complete genome.
GUGCGAUUUACCGUGUCUGUGGCGUCGUUUGAGCUUUGAAAAAAGCGAGAAGUUGCAGCCUUUAAAAAUUGCCUAGCGGUUUUCUUGACUUUUGGGGUCAAUCUUUGUUAAACGACUGCUUGGGU